rnacentral:rRNA from 1 species
AUUGAACGCUGGCGGCAGGCCUAACACAUGCAAGUCGAGCGGAUGAAGGGAGCUUGCUCCUGGAUUCAGCGGCGGACGGGUGAGUAAUGCCUAGGAAUCUGCCUGGUAGUGGGGGAUAACGUCCGGAAACGGGCGCUAAUACCGCAUACGUCCUGAGGGAGAAAGUGGGGGAUCUUCGGACCUCACGCUAUCAGAUGAGCCUAGGUCGGAUUAGCUAGUUGGUGGGGUAAAGGCCUACCAAGGCGACGAUCCGUAACUGGUCUGAGAGGAUGAUCAGUCACACUGGAACUGAGACACGGUCCAGACUCCUACGGGAGGCAGCAGUGGGGAAUAUUGGACAAUGGGCGAAAGCCUGAUCCAGCCAUGCCGCGUGUGUGAAGAAGGUCUUCGGAUUGUAGAGCACUUUAAGUUGGGAGGAAGGGCAGUAAGUUAAUACCUUGCCGUUUUGACGUUACCAACAGAAUAAGCACCGGCUAACUUCGUG